AAUCCGAGAAUUUCACCUCUGACAACGGAAUACGAAUGCCCCCAACUGUCCCUAUUAAUCAUUACCCUGGCGUGCAAACCAACAAAAUAGACCGCCUGGGUCGUAUCUUAUUAUUCCAUGCUAAUGCAUUCAAGGCCUAAGCCUGCUUUGAACACUCUAAUUUGUUCACAGUAAAUGUCAGGGACCACACACGCGACAACCUAAUGCCACGUGCGCUCACCCCGAAGAUGGCAGGACGCGAAAUCGGUACAGACCCCUUCCGGGGCCGACCAUCCGCUCCCGCCAGAAAUCCAACUACGAGCUUUUUAACUGCAGCAACAUUAGUAUUCGCUAUUGGAGCUGGAAUUA
rnacentral:misc_RNA from 1 species